rnacentral:misc_RNA from 1 species
GUAACUAUUAUAGUUUUCUGAUGCUAACUGCUAUUUCAAAAGGUUGUAAAAAGGUCCUACUGACAGGCGAGCCUGCCGAGGAAACAAUUGAGUGCGCAAAAAACAGGGCAAUAUUCAGACAGGACCAGCAUAGGGAGUGCAGAAGCAACAUCGCUAAGCCAGUCCCCGAUAUUCGUAAUGAUCCUUCCGCAGGUUCACCUACGGAAA